rnacentral:rRNA from 1 species
AGUCAACGCUGGCGGUAGGCCUAACACAUGCAAGUCGAACGGCAGCACAGUAAGAGCUUGCUCUUACGGGUGGCGAGUGGCGGACGGGUGAGGAAUACAUCGGAAUCUACUUUUUCGUGGGGGAUAACGUAGGGAAACUUACGCUAAUACCGCAUACGACCUACGGGUGAAAGCGGGGGAUCUUCGGACCUUGCGCGAUUGAAUGAGCCGAUGUCGGAUUAGCUAGUUGGCGGGGUAAAGGCCCACCAAGGCGACGAUCCGUAGCUGGUCUGAGAGGAUGAUCAGCCACACUGGAACUGAGACACGGUCCAGACUCCUACGGGAGGCAGCAGUGGGGAAUAUUGGACAAUGGGCGCAAGCCUGAUCCAGCCAUACCGCGUGGGUGAAGAAGGCCUUCGGGUUGUAAAGCCCUUUUGUUGGGAAAGAAAAGCAGCAGGUUAAUACCCCGCUGUUCUGACGGUACCCAAAGAAUAAGCACCGGCUAACUUCGUG